ACAGAGGGGGCAAGCGUUGUUCGGAAUUACUGGGCGUAAAGGGCGCGUAGGCGGCCUGCUAAGUCGAACGUGAAAUCCCUGGGCUCAACCCAGGAACUGCGUCCGAUACUGGUUGGCUUGAAUCCGGGAGAGGGAUGCAGAAUUCCAGGUGUAGCGGUGAAAUGCGUAGAUAUCUGGAGGAAUACCGGUGGCGAAGGCGGCAUCCUGGACCGAGAUUGACACUGAGGAGCGAAAGCUAGGGGAGCAAACGGGA
rnacentral:rRNA from 1 species